rnacentral:rRNA from 1 species
ACGCUGGCGGCGUGCCUAAUACAUGCAAGUAGAACGCUGAAGAGAGGAGCUUGCUCUUCUUGGAUGAGUUGCGAACGGGUGAGUAACGCGUAGGUAACCUGCCUUGUAGCGGGGGAUAACUAUUGGAAACGAUAGCUAAUACCGCAUAACAAUGGAUGACACAUGUCAUUUAUUUGAAAGGGGCAAUUGCUCCACUACAAGAUGGACCUGCGUUGUAUUAGCUAGUAGGUGAGGUAAUGGCUCACCUAGGCGACGAUACAUAGCCGACCUGAGAGGGUGAUCGGCCACACUGGGACUGAGACACGGCCCAGACUCCUACGGGAGGCAGCAGUAGGGAAUCUUCGGCAAUGGGGGCAACCCUGACCGAGCAACGCCGCGUGAGUGAAGAAGGUUUUCGGAUCGUAAAGCUCUGUUGUAAGUCAAGAACGGGUGUGAGAGUGGAAAGUUCACACUGUGACGGUAGCUUACCAGAAAGGGACGGCUAACUACGUGCCAGCAGCCGCGGUAAUACGUAGGUCCCGAGCGUUGUCCGGAUUUAUUGGGCGUAAAGCGAGCGCAGGCGGUUUGAUAAGUCUGAAGUUAAAGGCUGUGGCUCAACCAUAGUUCGCUUUGGAAACUGUCAAACUUGAGUGCAGAAGGGGAGAGUGGAAUUCCAUGUGUAGCGGUGAAAUGCGUAGAUAUAUGGAGGAACACCGGUGGCGAAAGCGGCUCUCUGGUCUGUAACUGACGCUGAGGCUCGAAAGCGUGGGGAGCGAACAGGAUUAGAUACCCUGGUAGUCCACGCCGUAAACGAUGAGUGCUAGGUGUUGGAUCCUUUCCGGGAUUCAGUGCCGCAGCUAACGCAUUAAGCACUCCGCCUGGGGAGUACGACCGCAAGGUUGAAACUCAAAGGAAUUGACGGGGGCCCGCACAAGCGGUGGAGCAUGUGGUUUAAUUCGAAGCAACGCGAAGAACCUUACCAGGUCUUGACAUCCCGAUGCUAUUUCUAGAGAUAGAAAGUUACUUCGGUACAUCGGUGACAGGUGGUGCAUGGUUGUCGUCAGCUCGUGUCGUGAGAUGUUGGGUUAAGUCCCGCAACGAGCGCAACCCCUAUUGUUAGUUGCCAUCAUUCAGUUGGGCACUCUAGCGAGACUGCCGGUAAUAAACCGGAGGAAGGUGGGGAUGACGUCAAAUCAUCAUGCCCCUUAUGACCUGGGCUACACACGUGCUACAAUGGUUGGUACAACGAGUUGCGAGUCGGUGACGGCGAGCUAAUCUCUUAAAGCCAAUCUCAGUUCGGAUUGUAGGCUGCAACUCGCCUACAUGAAGUCGGAAUCGCUAGUAAUCGCGGAUCAGCACGCCGCGGUGAAUACGUUCCCGGGCCUUGUACACACCGCCCGUCACACCACGAGAGUUUGUAACACCCGAAGUCGGUGAGGUAACCUUUUGGAGCCAGCCGCCUAAGGUGGGACAGAUGAUU